UUUUAUGCGCUCGAUCUGCGGGGAACGCCGACGAUGGCACAGGCGCGUCGCGGCGGGCGGGCCAGUGAAUCCGUAGACCUAGCCGUGCUGGAGGCCGCCACCGCAGGCUAGCUUCUCGGACCAUAAUCUGCUUGGCCGUGGCGGCUUCCGCCCUGUCUACAAGGCAAGCAAGCACAUCGCAACCUGCCGAACCUCCUUUGCCCUUCUCGCUUUGCUUCAGACUGUGCUAGAGGGGCGGCAGGAGAUCACGGUGAAGCUGCUGUCCUGGAGGCGCGGCAGUGGUGCGGGAGUUUCUCAGCGAGGUGCGCUUGCUUGGCUGCUUCUCAAGAAGAAAGGAUUGGGAAGCAGUGAUCAGAGGAGGGCUGCUGCACCUGCCGUUGCUACGGGAAACAAGUGGCCGAAAUUUCAGUUUCUUUAUUGUUGAAGGAAAUGGCGAAGCAAACGGCAAUGGCAAGCUGGUCAGCAUCGUCAUCUGGACAAACGGCAAUGGCACAUAGAACAACUGAUAAGAUAUGGUGCCCAUUCGUUUUUUUGUUUCUGAAUAACGUCUCUUUCUCUGUAGCAGUAGUAAAUUCAGAAAUGGUAAGUAGCGUUUGACUGCAUGUAAAUAAUUUUGACUGUAAAGUCGUAGUAGGAGUGUUUUCUGUCAAAAAUGAACUUGUGACAGUAGCACUGUGUUUCGAUCACUUCUUCAGCUAGUAAAUUUUGAAACUUGGGUAGGCACAGUUUGCAACAACUCGAUUCAGUUCAGGUAUUAUAUGCCUAAGUUUGUUUUAUUCUUGACUCCGUUCCUAUUUAUACAGUAGGUGACUAAGUUUGUCCACAAGGGUAUGUGUCUAAUCUGAAUUUUGCAGUCAGCUAAUUUUAGUUGUAAACAAUUUCUUAUAUUCCAUAUUAAUAUCAAUUGCAGGCACUCCCUGCUUUCCUGAAUACGGAAGGUGUGAUGGUGAGCGCAGAAGGAAAUCUCUCCAUGGUUGCAUUGUCAGCCAGGACCUGUCUGUCGUCAACUUGGUGAUUGUUAAAGAAUUUGCAGGGAGUUCUCGAGCUGAAGUAAUAGAUGAAGAUGUGGCUGUUGUCGAGACAGAUACUCUGAAAAAAUGUGGGCCAGACAGGUUUGGGCGCCUUGACGACCUUGGGAGCGGGCGGAGCUGGCAGCGAGCUGAGAUGGAGCCGCCGACAUCUCCAAGGAGAUGAAACGAUGCUGCCGGGCAGAAGCCUGGAGGUGCCUCGAGCAUGGAGGUGUUGGCUAUGGUGCUGAGCGUUGCCGG